rnacentral:lncRNA from 1 species
UUAAAUAGGACGUUUAAACUUAAGUUAUUUUUAAAUAUAAUUUUUUUUUUUUUGAGAUUUCUAUAUUAUAGAAGAGAAAGAAUUUCGACGUGUGUGUUUCAUGUCAUUUUUAAAAAGCUCGAGGAUAUAUUAGUCAUUUCGCAUCAAUUCUCAAAAUAUCAUAUACGUGGCUAGAUUUCUGUGUACAAACUCUACGUGUAACUUAUAAAAUGGCUCCAUGUGUAUUUUUAGCAAAUAACAGAGUAUUAGGUUUUCUUCAAUUCAGAUUUUGAGUGAUAUCUUCUUCCUGAUUCUCUUCACGCGCAAAUCUAGCUAGAGGUAUGCUUUCAAUCAAUUUUGUACAUAUCUUUUUUCUACUUUUUCCUUUGUAUUUUGGGUUUCUUCUAGGUUCUCUUCAUCAUUGUUAGUUUCGAUUCUGAAGUUCAGUGAUUGUUGUAGGUUCUUUUCCCAUGUUUUGCUAUGAUUUUUCUCAGAUCCUUUUUUCUUCUUUUAAUUUCUGCUCUAUCUUCUUUUAGGUUUUCUAAUUUUUAACUUUGCAAUCUUAUGGCAAGUGUGUGUUAAAUCGAGUGGUAAAACUGUAUUUUUAAACUCUAAGCAUGCUGACUAUUGGACUUUGUCUUCAACGUCUUUAUCUAGCAUUCCUCACAAAUUCUCUCAGUUAGAUCAAACUCAACGACCUGCCUCUACAGUUUCUUUUUUCAUAUUCUAAUAUUGUCUCAACUUCUCCUCCGUUUUUCGUUAAUUGCAGUCUUCUCUGUUGCACUGCUCAAUUUACGUACAAUUAUACGGUCAGUUCUGUUUUGUCUGGCUUUUUCCUUUAACUAUCCAAACUAUUUUUGGGGGUGAGGUUGGAACAACGAUUGGUUGUUUUGGAAAAGGAUCUGUAUUUAUUUAUGUGCAUAUCUUUUUUAAAUGAGGAAUACAAACAUAUUUUCUAUAUGAAAUUUUGGAAUGUCUUUACUGGUUUGGUACCAUGCCUGGUUGGGGUAAUUAAGAAGCUUUUAGACCCGGUUGACUUUGGCUGACCAAAAUGACUUUUUUCUUCGUUUAUCCAACCUUUUCUGAAUAUCAGUGUUAUCUAGAUUUAAGAUUGUGUUGGUUUCUACUGUGAAGAAUGUCUCCUUAUGAUGUUUUGAAUCUUCCAUGGAAGAUUAGCUUGCUUUCAAUUGGUGAUAUGUUACGCCUCUAUUUUUCGUGCUUCGUUUCGCUUCGCGCUUCUCGUGAUUUAAUCUUAAUUUUCAUAUGUUUCAACUCUUUUAAAGUGCAAUAAGAAUGAAUUUAAGUUUAUGAUUUAGACACUACAUCCAGACUUGCAUUAGAGGUAUUUGAGAAAUUGCCGAUGAGAAAGAAGGGGUAAAGUAUUUGAGAAUGGCGAGGAGAGUUGAGAAAUUUCACUGUUUUGAAAUUGCCACCGCCCGAGCCUAAGAAACCUAAGACCAUUAAUGUCAAGCUUGCUUAAAAUAGGGGAAAUAUAGACAAAUUAAGUUUGGUUCUAUGGGUAUUAAUUUGGACCUCGGAGAGGUUAGAAAUACUGUUUUAUAGUAGUGCUUAUGAUGUUUUUUGGACUGUUUUGUGCUGUGUGUAAGACCUUUUGGUCUAUGAACUGUGAACAUUAUGAAUAAAUUUCCUUGAAUUUACUGGAGUUUUUGCAUCUACAGGAAAAAAAUUAAAGCCACUAACAUGUAAAAGGAACAAUUCUGUAGUAUAUCUCCUAAAGAUUUUAAAUGUUCUUGUUGUAUAAAUCUAAGGAAAUGGAGAUUGAAACUGAUAAGAAAUAGAUUAAUGUUGUUGAAUGGCAUAACAUAUGCAAGAUUCACAGACUAUUGAAAAGAAACAACAGCAGACUCAUUCACAACUUUGCUCAAAUAAUGAUGAAGUUGGUUAAAAGGAGACAAAAAGGAAUAUAAAUAGUGUCUACUUCUUUCUCACUUGCUUCCAUAUUUACAUUCUCAUCUUAAACUAUUGGGCUAGGUUAUAAAUAUUUGUGUUGCAGAUCACUUUGUGUAAAGACAAACGAAUAUUAUGUUCGGAUCCUACAACUUCUUCAAUUAUAGUAUUCAAUUCAACAUGGUUCAUUUUAAUCUCUAUUUUUGUUCCUUUUUAACACUGAAAUAAUUGAGCAGCUUAAUGAAAAAACCUAAAGCCUAGAAAAUGAUAUAUGAUAAGUUAUUAUACCUUUUAAUUUUUUGGCAUGUAUUAAUUGCUCAUAUAUGUUAUUUUUGGUCUUUGUUUCUGCCUCAAUAGUGAAGGAAAAAGAAUCAUUUGUGAUGCUACUUUUUAAAAGCUCAAGGCUUCUCCAUAAGCUGAUAUAAAUUGUGGGUAUCUCUUGCAGUUUGUACGUCAACUGAAAGGCUGUUUUUCUGACGUUUGAGCUUGAUCGACAAGCUGUCACCACUUCAAAUUGAAGCUCUUGGUUUUGCUCUCCGAGAAUCACUAAAAACUUGACACUCAUGAAAACGAAGGUCUCUCCAUUCUGAAUUCCUUAUCUAUUGCAAUUUACGCCAUAUCUCAAGGUAAUUUGUCUUUUCAUAUUUCAUUUGUUGUCUUAGUUAUGUAACUGCUACUGAAGGUGCAGAAAUACCAAGGUGUAACUUAGCAAAAUCUGCAGAUACCAAUAUCUCCAAAAUCUAUUAGUUUACAUUGAUUCUUUAUCGUAUUUGGUGGUAGAUGCUUAAAUUUGUUUUAAAGUUCUUAUGGAACAUCAGAAGACCAUAUGUGUAUUAUUUUGUAUUUCUAUUCACAACUUUGGAGAUUAAAAACACCCCCGUUUCAAAUGUUUACAGAGUAACACCUUUCUUAUACACUUACUUGCAUGUGCUUUCUGUUGACAUGAAGGAAAUAAAAUCUCUCUCCGGUGCAUUUAUCUAAGCUCGCUUUCUUUUCUUUGUUUCUUUUUCUCUGAAGAUUCAAAAGAACAUUAGAAUUUAUGGUAUAUUAUGCUCAUUAGUAAACAAAGAUAGACAAUGUUUGAAAAGGUAUGUAAAUUACAAAUAAAAUCUGCAAAANCUAAUNNNNNNNNNNNNNNNNNNNAUAUAUAUAUAUAUAUAUAUAUAUAUACCAAGCUAAUAAAAAAAUAGUAUUUUCAACUUUUAUAAUAUUGGGCCUGUGCUGGCACAUGCCAUCACAACCUAGCAGACUAAAUAGAAAAGUGUAUUAUGGAACAUAAAUAUGACUUUCUGGACCACUUAUUUUGUUUAUUUUCUAUUUUGGUUGAUAGAAGGGUGGUUAAAACAUUAUUUGAAAAAAAUGUAACACUUUCACUUUGCCUACCAUAACACAAGGUCGGUAGUGGAGUCAACAACUCAAUGGACGGAUGAUUUGUCUUUUAAGUAUAAGAGAAGAUGUUUGAGUGAAAUAAACUUUUGUCUUUUAGGAACACAAAGCAAAAACUGUCAGAUUAUCUUUAAAUUUACUAAGAAAAAUACUUCUUUUUUUGGUAAUAAGGAAAUAUACGUAUUGAGGCACCAAACCAGUUAUUGCAAUAUAACUUUAAUCACUUACCGAAUGCGGGUAAAUUAUUAAUAUAUUUAUAUUUACAUUAAUUGAAACCCAAUUAUAUGUAUCCUGGCUAGCUACCUAAUCUGACACUACUUUAACAAAAAAUGGAUAUCUUCAAUUUGGUUACAAAUAGUCUACUGUUGAUAGUAAGUUAUGUCAAAUGACUAUUUUUAUGAAUAGUGGAUGUCCCGGUUCGCGAAUGUAAGGACCCGUUGGUUGGUCCUCGCGUUCGCGACAUGGUCCUCGCGUUCGCCUAGGGUCUGCUAGUGUAAGCUACUCGUUUGCGAGUGGACCUCGCGGUUGCGAAAGAGGAAAUUGGCCAGCAGGACUUUUGUUCAUCGCGUUCGCGAUAGUAGCCUCGCGUUUGCGAAGAAGAACGCACCUGGGCAGAUAUAAGAUUUAAAAAUCGAGGGUUUAGCCAUUUUUAUCAGAACUUAAGCUUGGGAGCUCGGAUUUGAGAGGGAUUUUGAGGGAUUUUCAGAUAUAUCGAUUGGUGGGUACGAAACAUGUGUUUGUGAUUAUCAGUUAAGAUAUGUUUUUUCUAUUUUCUUUGGUUCCAUCGCCUUUUUUCUCACUUUGCUCCGACUUAAACAUUGUCGGUGAGUUCUAGUGAUUGUGUUGUUCCUUGCUACUUCCUCUCUAUUCUUUCCAUGUUCUUCGUUCUUCUUUGCGGGUUUUCCCUUUGAGUCUGCUUUGCACACAUCUAUCUUCAUUUGUUUUUUGAUUUCAGCAAUCCAAGAUGUAAUAAUCAGGAACAACUUCAGUACUGAAGAUCUCAACUAAGGUAAAAUACUAUUUUUAAGCUCUUGUACUUAAAGGAUCAUAAACCCUAUCCAAUAAACACUUCAUCUGCUUACCUCUAUGUUUUGUGGCAAAAAGUUUUGAUUGGGGUGUUUUUGUUUCUUUCGUGUUUAGUAAAUGGUUUUGAAUUUCUCAUAUUAAUUAAGAAUAAUUGUUUAAUGCUGAAGAAAGACCAGUAAUUGUAAUAUUAUUUAAAUGUCAAGUGAAGAAGAGGUAACAUGCCAACAAGAAAUUGGUACUAUGAUUUAUACUUUUCGAUAUUCUAAGAAAUUUGAGAUUUAUGGAUGUGCAAGUGGAAAAGAAACGUUGCAGCUUCAAAAAUAAAAAUAAAGAUAAAAAUAAAAAUUAAAACUGAAAUAGUGAUGCUAUUUUUUUUUUGGCAAAAUACAUAGUUUGCCCUCGGAACUUAGGACCAAAUCCCUGUGACACACCUUCUGAGCACGGACAACUUUUUACACACCCAACCUUUUCAAAGUGUGUCUAAUACACACCUUUUUUGUCAACAUGGCUAGUGCGUGUUUUACCAAUAAAAUAAGGCGCGUGAACAGUAAAAAAAAUUAUUUUCUUUCUUUAUUUUUUUUUUCAUUUUCCUAAACUAAUUCACUAGCUAUCCUCCGCCAAAUCCAACACUCACCUUCCAUCGUCGUUUCUCCACAAUUUCUCCACCAUCCUAACCAACACCCACCUGCCAAGAACCACCAUACCUUCACCAUUGAAGCCCGUCUCUUUUCUCUCUUUUUUUUUCUUCUCAAAACCCAGUUGUUGGUAGCAGCCAUGGAAGCCCUUACCUUCUGCAUAGAAAAUAGAGCAGUUUGAGUUAAACCCAGAAGCUAAGAUCUUCAAGCCAUGCCAUUUCUGGAUUCCAUCUUUGAGUUUAAACAAAUAUUAUGCAGUUUGAUGUUCUUGAGUUAUAAUAAAGACUUGUAAUUUCUUCAUUUAAAAGUGUUUUGGUGGAUCUAAUUAUGUCAGGUUUUAUAUUAUGUGGGUUUUUUCUUUUAUUUUGUGAGUUUGAGUUGAAUUCUCAUUCUAUGUAAAAAAAAAAAAUUACUCCUAAUUAAAGUUUUUAGAAGUGUAGAGACAUACUUCAAAGAUGUGAUUUUUUUUUAUUUCUAAGUGUUUUUCUCUUUAAAAUAGACUGUAUUUGUUGAAUUCUUGUUAUUAGCUAUUGCUCAUGUUUUUAAAGUAAACAAAGGGGAGGGAUUGGAGCCUUACAGGAGUAAGUCGAUGGGAAGGGGGCUCGGAGAAGAGGGUAGACAGUGGAGGAGGAGGAAGCUGAUGACGGAGGGGAGGCUUGGGGAAGAGUUUUUUUUUUUUUUUGGGGGGGGAGGGGGGAUAAGGUGAUAUAAUAUUUAAUUUUAUUGGAAAAAGUUUAAUCAAUUAAGGUUUAUUUUAAGUAUGUAUUUAUUUAUAGUUGAGUUAUGACACGUGUCGCAUUUUGACUGGUACGUGGAUGCAGUCUCCAAACAAAAAACUGGUCCAUAAAAAAGUAGUGUCUUAUACACACUUUGAAAAAGUUAGGCGUGUAAAAAGUUAUCCGUACUCAGAAGGUGUGUCACAGGGAUUUGGUCCUAAGUUUCGGAGGAAACUAUGUAUUUUGCCAUUUUUUUCCUUUUCAUUUUGGAUUAGAGAACAUGAAUUUUGAUGGAAUAAUAUAAGAAUACGAAAAGAUUGAUAGUCACUAAUAACACAUGUAUUUACUUUUAAGCCACCGUUUAAAAUUUCUUUAGUCUUUAGUUAUUGCUUUAAUAAACUUUAAUUGUCGGACGAAAAUACUCUUCUGCUCAUGUCCUUAACUUUUGAACUUAAUUUCAGGACUUCAGCAUUACAUGUCCUUAACUUUUGAACUUGGAACUCUAAGUUCAGAACUUUUGGACUACAUGUCCUUAACUUCAGGACUACAUGUCCUUAACUUUUGAACUUGUAACUAUAAGUUCAGGACCAAGUGUCCUUAACUUUUGAGCUUGUUAGUCUAAGUUCAGGACGUAUUGUCCUUAACUUUUGGGUUUUUUAGCCUAAGUUCAUGACCUAUUGUCCUUAUCUUUUGAGCUUAUUAGUCUAAGUUCAGGACUUCAGGACCUAUUGUCCUUAACUUUUGAACUUGUAACUGUAAGUACAGGACCUAUUGUCCUUAACUUUUGGGCUUCUUAGCCUAAGUUCACGACCUAUUGUCCUUAACUUUUGAGCUUGUUAAUCUAAGUUCAGGACUUCAGGACCUAGUGUCCUUAACUUUUGAACUUGGAACUCGAAGUUCAGGACCAAGUGUCCUUAACUUUUGAACCUGUAACUAUAAGUUCGGGAUCCAUAACGUAGCAGAAAACCAAAAAUGCAUCACAGAAAUCACAAACCGAAACAUUGUGUCCAAUCCAUCACACCUUUAUGCAGAGUUCAAUUUUCAAUUAGCAGAUGAUCGUUCUUUUGGUGGAUUUUACGGUACUGCAACUGAUCAAGGCAUUGACAGUAUUGGGAUUUAUGUGAAGACCAUCACAUCCUCCACAAUAAGUAGAAUAACAUCCAACGAAACGACUGACGCGGCCAAAAGGAAAGAAAAUCAUUCAAUUCAACAUAUGUAUAUUUGAUGUUCAUGAUUUUUUCAUAUUAGAUCAUUUGUUGCUUUUGUUAAGUUCAUUACGUGAGAAUCAUGAACUGGUCUAGUUUAUUACCCAAUGAGUUGAAAGAGAUAGAAGAAAGGGUAAUAAAAUUUUUUCAUAUUAAUUUUAAUAAACUAGUAAUUACUAUUGCUAAGCAUUAAAAAUACUGGAUAAAAAAUAAAUAUCAGUUUAAAAAGUGGCUACCCACGUGAUUUUUACAAAGUCACGUUUGUUGUUUUGUUAAAAAGGGUCCUUACUUUUUUUAGGCAAAGAGAGAUGUAAGAUGUUUCUUUCCAAGCUCUAACUAGUUUUAAGAACUCGUUUGGUCAAAUUGUCAAAAAUUAUUUAUUUUGAGAAAUAAUUUUGUUCAAAAUUACUUUUUAAAAAAUUACUUUGGGAGAGUUACUAUUUAUAUUUAGCCAGUUCAUUUAAGAAGUGCUUUUUACAAUAUAUGAUAAAAUAAAUUAAUUUUUUAAUUUUAUUUAAUUAAAAUAUAAAAGAUAAAGUAUAAAAAUAUAACAACAACAACAACCCAGUAUAAUUUCACUAGUGGGGUCUGGGGAGGGUAGUGUGUACGCAGACCUUACCCCUACCCUGGGGUAGAGAGGCUGUUUCCAAAUAGACCAUCGGCAUCCUUCCCUCCAAGAACUCCCCACCUUGCUCUUAGGGUUACUCGAACUCACAACCUCUUGAUUGGAAGUGGAGGUUGCUUACCAUCAGAGCAACCCCGCUUGUCAACAAAAUAUACUAGAAUUUUAAUCAAUAUAAACUAUAUUAUUCAAAGCAAUAACACUAGAUAUCAGGUAUUACUUAUUGUUUACAUGAUGAUUUAAGUAUAUCAAUAUAUUUAUUCAGUAUAAAUUAAAAAUCUACUUCCUAACUUUCUAUAUAAAAGAUAUUAGAGAGAUUACUUCAAACAAGAAUAGGAGAAUGAGAAUAAAAAUACAAUAAAAAUAAAAUAAAUAAAAAAGAAGAAAGGGAUGCUAAAAAUAAAAAAGAAAUAGGAAAAAGUUAAAUAAUAAAGGAUAAUUUAAAAAAUAUAAUUUAUAUUAAAGAUACUUUAUCUAAAACAAAUAAUUUCCUGCUUAUGUUUAUGCUUCUACUUCUUGAAAGAAGCUAGAAUUUAUAGUUUCUUCUCAAAAGUAAAAAAAAUUGCUUCUGUUGCACAAAAUUGCUUUUCGAGUUCUCCAUCUCGACUAAAUAUAUCAAAUUUCCAAAAAAGUACUUUUGAUGGCUUUUGAUCAUAAAUAGCUAACUUAAUAAAGGAAGAAACUUUGUCUCAUAGAUUCCGCUAAUCAUUACUCUGUAUAUUCAACUAAAGUUAGUUUCAGUUCUAUAAUUUCAUCAUCUAAAUUUCGCAAUUAUCAUGCCUCCUUUUCAAUUUUAUCAAGAACAUAAAACCUUUACUGAUUUAAGAAAUUUUUUGAUUUUUUAAAAAAGAAAAGCUAUUUUCAAGUUCAUUCUUUCUUUUCCCCCAUCAUUUUCAAGUUCAUUCUAAAAGACACAAACAUGGUAUGUUAAUUAAUAUAAGAGAAGUUUUUCUUUCUCCUGAGCAAAAUACUGAGCAAAAUACAAGUUGUUCUAUUUUUUUAAUCAAUAAGAAAUACUAUAAAAAAAAUCGAUAAACCUAAAAAGAAUAAAUUGCUUUUGCAACAGUGGAAUCCAAUAACUACAUUUUGAAUCAUAAAUUUAAUUGAUUUUAAAAUUUUAAAUAUUAGAAAUAAUAAAAUGGCAACUUUUUAUUUAAUGUGAAAUCAACUAUAAUUUUAAUUAUUAAAUAUAUUUUUAGUUUAAACUACGUAGGAAGUCCUAAUAUUAAAACUUUAAAACCGAUUAAUAUCUCACCUUAUAUAAACUCUUCCGUAGAAAUACCUUUCAAAUCCUAACUCUAUGUAACACAAGUAUAUUAAAAUUUUGUCUUAAAUUUAGGAUUUAUUAAUCAAUUAAGAUUUUGUCCAUAGUAUUUCAUAUUGGAUAUACUUUAUUCUUUCCUUAUUGCAUUGGACUCCUUUUGACCGUAAAACUGAUGUUACGUAUAUUUAAAGCCAUUUGUUUGACGGCGAGGAUUUACCUAUAGAGAAUUUUGCCAAAAUAUUAAUGUAACGAUCCGACCGGUUGUUUUGAGAAUUAACAUCUCGUUCGGUGGUAGAAGAUCUCGAGCAUCUCCGUAUUAUGUGUUAUAACUUGCAUGCGUGGCUGAGUUCAGUUAUCGGAUGAUUCGGAGUCAAUUUGGAAGAAGGAUUUUUGUUUUAGAAGCUUGAGCGGUAAUAGUUGAUCAGAAUUUGAUUUUUGUGUAAACGACUCUAGAAUGAUAUUUUGAUGAUUCCAACAGCUUCGUAUGGUGAUUUUGGACUUAGGCGUAUGUACGGAUUUGGAUUUGGAGGCCCGUAAGGUAAUUUGAAGCAUUUCGGCAAAAUUUGGAAAAGUUGAAUUUUGGAAGGUUGAGAGGUUUGACCAAGAGUUGACUUUGGUGAUACCGGGGUCGAAACGCAAUCCUGAGAGUUGGAUUAGCUCUGUUAUGUCAUCUGAGACUUGCAUGUAAAAUUUGGCAUCAUUCUUGAUUGAUUUGAUAUGUUUCGGCUCGAGUUUUGGAAGUUGGAAAAUUUGAAAGUUCAUAAGUUCGAUUCAUGGUGCGAUUCGUAGUUUCGACAUUGUUUGAUGUGAAUUGAGACCUUGAGCGAGUCCUUGUUAGGUUAUGGAAUUUGUUGGUAUGGUUAGACGGAGUCCCGGGGGCCUCGAGUGUGUUUCGGAUGGGCUACGGGCCAUUUCUCCAUGUUGUUAGACUUCUGUUUUGUUGGUACCUGGUUUCCUUAAUCGCGUUCGCGUCAAUUCCUCCACGUUCCCGUAGUGUAAUUUUGGAGGAAGGAAUAUUUGUUUUUCGCAUUCGUACAUACCUGUCCGCGAUUGCAUAAGUGUUCAUUUCCCUUCUUCGCGUUCGCGUAGCUCAGCUGGUGAUUCCCUUUUCUCCCUUGCGAUCGCAUGUGGCUUCACGCGAUCGUGUAGUUCAGUCCUUGGGCCAUCAGAAUUUCCCUCUUCAUGAUUGCACAUGUCUUUUCGUGAUCGCGUAGCAUUAAUUCCGGUCAGUAGCCAUUACCUCUUCGCGAUCGCAAUUGAAAUUCUGUGAUCGCGAUGUACUAACACCUGGGUAGAAUAUAAAAGUACUAUAUUUCGAGGGCUAGCCAUUUUUAUCAUUUUUGGAGUUGUGGAGCUCGGUUUUGAACGAUUCUUCAUGGGUUUUUCAAGAAAAUCAUUGGGGUAAGUGUACCCUUUCUCCUCUAAAAAUCCACAAAACAAUAGCAAAACACGCAAUCCAACAACAACACAAAACAACCCACGAAAUAGUUCGCUACAAGUUGAAUAACUCGAACUCACGGCUUCCGAUCACCGUCCCAUGAGUUCUUACAAUUAUAGAACAAUUUUUCUUACAUUUUCAGCAAAAAAAAAACAUGAAAAAGAGCAGUAAACUUACCUUAUUUGUUGAAUAUCUCAGAUCCUAUCUUGGUUCUUUAAACCCUAGGUUUUUCCUCUAACUAGAACUUGAAAAGGAGAGAAAAUCAAUUAGGGUUUGUGUUCAAUUUUUUGGAGGAUUUUUGUAGGGACUUAUGUCUGGUUAUUUUGCUAUAUAAUGAGUUUUAUAUUUGCAGGAGAUAAGCCCUUAAAUGGGCUCUUUGGCUGACGCGAAAUAGCCCCUUUUGGACAUAUUUAAUCCUCCCAUUUAAGCAGGUAGGUGACGCACCUACUUGUCACCUAGCAGUCUGUGCAGUCUUGCAAAAAUGCAUAUAUCUCACUACUCUCAUAUCGUAUUGAUAAACGGUUUAAUGCAUUCGAAAUCAGACUCAUAAAUCUUCAAUUUUAUGGGUGGAACACUCCAUAACUCUAUGUAUAUUGGAAGAAAAUCGUAGUGACAUUUGGCCCCAAUUUCAGUAAAACUUAUGAAUGUAACUUGUGAUGACUUUCAUCGACUUUUGUUUCACAACUCGCUUGACCUCAAAACAUAACAAAUGAAUAUCAUAAGACUAAAAUGAAUUAUAACAUAAACCUCUUAUCAUGUUAAGAACCCUAGUCUCACCCCAAAGGUAUUGGUUAUAACAUUUCCAAUUUGUCGACUUUCGAGAAAUAUUAUUUUCUUCAAUUCAUUAGCUUCUUAACCUUCCAACCCUCUUUUUACUUGUUGUUCAUGAUCUUCAAUAUUUGUAACCUUCGAGGUAACAUGAUAACUUACUUUAUAUACUUCCAAAGAUGAUUUCAUUUUUGGUCUUACAUUAGUGUGCUUACGAGACACUUUUACGUACAAAAAUAUGAGGUGUAACAUGAGCAGAUUGUUUUGGUGUUGGCGCCAGGUAUUUUUCGUGUGGAUAUUGUGGUGUGAUGAAGUUGUAGCACCAUGUCUUCAUCGUGCGGUUAUGAUGAUAUCAUUGUUGUUGUGGCACGAGGCCUUUGUCGUGCUGUUGUAAUGAUGAUGUUGUGGAAGGAGGUCUUUGUCGUGCGAAUAUUAUGGUGUGAUGAUGUUGUAGCGUGAGGUCUUUUAUGUGUGCUUAUUGUCAUGACUGGAAGUUUUUUUCGUAUAGUGUGUGGAUAUGGAUCCAUCCCCUUAAGGUUGCUCUCUCAUGUUUCUCUCUUGAUGGCGUACACGCAGAUUGUGGUACUUUGACUAAUGUUGUUGAUUCUGAUGUGGACACGGAUGUUGGGAGUUGAGUGUAAGGGUGCAAGUUUGGCCAUGCAAGUGAAUCAUUUAUGCCUUUCAGUACAUUUAAUAUGCUUUUAUGUUGAAAAUUUAACAUGUUAUUCUAUGCCUCUGUUUUGAUUGUCACGAUUGAUUUACCUGUGUUGAGUUGAGUUGAUGACAUUACAUCUUGUUAUAUUCUUGUUGCCAUUUAUUUAGAUAUAUAAAGCAUAGGUGCUUUGCUUAGUGAGUAUCGCAUGACUUGAACCUCGCCACUACUUCACCGAGGUUAGUCUUGAUACUUAUUGAGUACAUGUUGUUCGUACUCAUACUAUGCUUCUACAUAUUUCUGUGCAGAUUUGAGUGUUGGUAGUAGUGGACCUAGGGAGUGAGAUGUUGAUCGAGAGGAUUUAAGGUAGUGUUGCAUGGACGUCGCAGACCCUUGGAGUCCCCUUCCCUUAUCCUAUGCAAUUACUUUUCAUUCAAACAAUAUUGUACUAUAGAAAUAUACUCUGCAUUCGGUGUUAGAGCUCAUGAAUCUGUAUUACCUA